UGGCUCCGGCAUCGAUGAAGAACGCAGCGAAAUGCGAUAAGUAAUGUGAAUUGCAGAAUUCAGUGAAUCAUCGAAUCUUUGAACGCACAUUGCGCCCUUUGGCAUUCCGAAGGGCAUGCCUGUCCGAGCGUCAUUAACCCCUCUCAAGCGUCCGCUUGGUCUUGGGCCCCCCCGCCUGCGGUGACGCAGGCGAGCCCGAAAACGAGUUGGCGGCCCGGGACGACUUCGAGCGCAGUACAAAACAACACAUCUCGCUCCGAAGUCUCGCCCCUGCGGCCGGCCAGAACCACCCCGAUCGAAUGACAAUUGACCUCGGAUCAGGUAGGGAUACCCGCUGA
rnacentral:misc_RNA from 1 species